rnacentral:rRNA from 1 species
GACGAACGCUGGCGGCGUGCCUAAUACAUGCAAGUAGAACGCAGUUGCGAACGGGUGAGUAACGCGUAGGUAACUGCCUCAUAGCGAGGGAUAACUAUUGGAAACGAUAGAUAAUACCGCAUCCUGUGAGAUGGAUCUGCGUUGUAUUAUCUAGUUGGUGAGGUCAAGGCACACCAAGGCGACGAUACAUAGCCGACCUGAGCGGGUGAGCGGGCAAACUGGGACUGGUACAAGGCCCAGACUCCUACGGGAGGCAGCAGUAGGGGAACUUCGGAAAUGGACGGAAGUCUGACCGAGCAACGCCGCGUUAGUGAAGAAGGUUUUCGGAUCGUAAAGCUCUGUUGUUAGAGAAACGGUAACUAACCAGAAAGGGACGGCUAACUACGUGCCAGCAGCCGCGGUAAUUC